CCCCAAAAUUUUAUUCCCUCCUAAAAGUUCCAUUCGCUCAAAUUUCAUUCCCCCUAAAGUAACCCUAACUUCUACAUUGCCCCCUUUCUUUACUCCUUACCCCAAUCGACUUACAAAUUAGUUACCAGUUUCGCCCUAGAAGACGACGGGUAGCAUAGGAACAGGGUACAAUCUACCAGAUGCAACUUUUUUUGUCGGAUGGUAGGGAUUUUCAAAUUGAUUACACCACUAAAGCCAUUGACAACAACGACACCAUCAGCGGAGUUAUUGGAAUAGAGAAGCAGAUUGCGUUCAAGAUGAUGUUGCCUGGAUCUAAUUGUAGAAUUUUAUUAGGUGCAUCGCCAUUCUAGAUGGUGUAGCUAGAUUAGCUUAAGAUGGGAGACAGAUUGUUGCAAGAGCCAAAUCUAAAGCCCACAACUAUGAAAGGUCAUAUCACCUUCCCGCUGUAUUUUACUUGCCCUCUUUUGUGUUACUCUCUCCUGAUAUAUAUUUAGGUACUGGAGAGACCGAGAGGCCUUAAGCUGGGUUUGGAUAAACUUUGAAGAUGAUACGAAUGUAUAUAUAUGACAAUACUGAAUUACAUGUAUACUCUUAAACUUUGUUUGAGCUUAUAACAUGUUUGGUGAAGGUUGUUGCUUAAAAGCUACUUAUCUUGUGAAGCACGUGUGCAAACGGAAACCCUAAAUUCAUAAGUCCCUUGUUCGAAUCUGAUUAGCCUUAAAUUCAGAUUUCAUCAACAGCUCCUCUUAACGCUUUCUGGUCUUCUGUUCAAGCAACUCCCUAAAUUACAGAUUAAGUCAGAAUGCUCUUUCUACUCCAGCAUGCACCAUCCUCAGGUCUUAUAUCCCAAAAACUUCUGUCUCAAUUCUCAUUGGAUCUUGGUAAGAAAUUCGUAUUGACGGAGGUGGGUCGGUCGUUGUAUUGUAUUCUGAUGGGAGAGUAUACCUGGAUCGGUUGGGAAUAGAUAUCACUGUGAUGUGGCAGAUCAGAGACUUGCUCAACAUAUUCACAAAGGAAACGAAGAUGGGUUGCUCAUCAGCAGUGUGGCUCCUUGCUCAAACCUAUGGGCUCUUAUAAUGGAUUCUUGCACUGGUAUCACCUCUCAAGUUUACCAACUCUCUCCCUCAUUUCUCAACAAGGAUUAGAUUAUGCAACAGUGGGAGAAAUCCUGCUAUAUUGGCGUGAUAGCAUGUGCGAACAACGAGAGUUCUUUGGUUAAGGGUACCCAAUUCAUUCAGCAGUGUUACAACGUCAGUGAAUCAUUUUCUUUUUAGUGAAUAAAUAAUAAAUGGAGAGAAAGGUUCCAUAUCACUAUUAUGGCAACUGCGAGAACCAAAUGGGCAAUUGUUAUGUCCCGUGGCGCUGGAUUCUCUGACCAGGUAUGCAUAAACGAUGGGAUGCUGGGUAUAUGAUAACAUUAACUGCAUCUACAUCAAACCAAGCUGCUUUUGUUCUUAGCAUCCGAGAAGAAAACUUGCAGAUGAUACACAGGACACACUUCGCACUUCUGUGUAUCCUAGCACACAUGUCAAGGGCAAUGGCCGUGUAUGCUUCACAAAGUGGUGCCAACAUAAGGGUUAAACUCAUCUGGAUUAACGCUAGGUGUCCACGUCAGCCAGGAGGUACUGAAUGUGGCUACUAUGUGAUGAAGUUCAUGAAGGAGAUAGCUUACGAAGGAGUUGAAAUACUUGACAAUGAUAAUGUUGGGAAAGGAGUAGAGGAAUACUCGGCUGCGGAUAUGGAUGGCAUUCGGGAAGAUUGGUUGACUUAUGCGGUUAACUCUAUUUUUAAGUUAUAAAUCGUAUUUUAGGUGUUGAUGUGUGUCGGUGUGUAUAUAAUUUAGAUAUAUUUUUAAGCCCUUUUUACACUUUUA